rnacentral:lncRNA from 1 species
UCGCCAUCUCCGUGCCAAGGAAGACCACGCAUGCUGACCGUUACGUGCGCGCCGGCUUGUGGAAGGCAAGAGUGACUACGCAGCCACCACACGGGUUGGUAUUCGAUGCUUUUCCAUUGACUUCCGUUCAUAUUUUUCUAUCUAGUGCAUUCUUUAAUAUAAAUGAAACACAGAUACAGUAUAUCUAAGUCGAUACUUUUUGUGGAUACAUGGUCGAUGGCACAAGUUAUUACUUACUGGUGAGACAUCGCCCGUCGAGAUGGCGAGGCUUCUCUUGGACAUACACAUACCUCUAUGUGCCCAAAUCGUUAGGGUCAAAUUCUUCCAUGAUGAGCAUUGUGUACUCAUCCGCUUGCUCCUUCAUCUUGGAAAGUUUGUUUGCUGAUGCACUAAGGGCAAUAAUCUGCGAAAGCGUGUCAUCAUUUGCUUAAUUAAUAGUGGAAUAUAUGCUUCACUUUCCGUAAAAAAAGGAAUAUAUGCUUGUUAGACUGUAUUUACAUGUGUAUAUUGUAACGUUGUAUAUCACCUCAUUAUAUAUAUAUGUGAUAGGCCACCCCUAGAGGGUUGUGCCGGUUCCCCCCAAAGCCUAUUGUCUUACAUGGUAUCACGCUAGGUUACGUCCGCUUCCUCCUAAAAACCCUAAACCGCCGCCGCCGCCGCCACCGCCGCCGCCGCCGCGCCCGCCGUCGCCGUCGCCCGACUGCUAUGACGUCCGCCGCUGCGUCCGGCUCCACCGCCACCUAUUUUCUGCCGGCCUCCCUCGCGGCACUUCUCUCGAGGCCGCUGGAUGCCGCCUCCCUUCAGGCGCCGAUCGGGACACGGAGCGUCGGCUCCCUCUUCGCGCUCCCGCCGGCUGCUACUUCGCCCGGGCAGGCGCUUGUGGCCCACACCGCCGCCGCCCCGUCAACCGCGGCUGUCGCGCCCUCGGCCACUGCGCCGCUGGUGGCGGAGGACGUCACGCUGGCAGGCUUCGCGGCGUCAACCGCGGCCAUCGCGCCCUCUGUCACCGCGCCGGCUGCCCCUCUGACUGUCUCCACGAUGGUCUCACCUCAGCCAGUCUCCUCGAUGGGAUCGCAGCCGCCGCCGCCGUUUCACUUCGGCCAUCUCAUCACCAUCAAGUUGUCGUCGGACAAUUACAUCUUCUGGCGCGCGCAGGUUCUUCCGCUUCUUGGGAGUCACUAUCUGCUUGGCUAUGUCGACGGCUCUCUCCCUUGCCCUCCUGCGCUGGUUGACAGCGUGCACGGUCCGGUCUAUAAUCCGGCUCACCGUGUCUGGACAGGGCAGGAUCAGGCGAACCUCUCCUCCAUCCAGGGGUUGCUCUCUCCGGCCGUUGCUGGGCUUGUUGUCUUCGCCAAGACGUCCCACGAGGCAUGGACUAUUCUUGAGCGCUCGUUUGCGGCACAGUCGCAGGCUUGUGUAUCUGGGCUCCGUCACCAACUUGGGGAGUGUCAGAAGCUUGACUCCACUGCCACUGAGUUCUACAACAAAGUCAAGAGUCUCGCCGACACGCUGGCCUCCAUUGAACAGCCCCUCACCGACUCCGAGUUCAACUCGUUUAUUGUCAAUGGUCUUGAUGAGGAGUAUGACGCCCUAGUCGAGAUCAUCAAUGAGAGGGGCAACUCCACGCCCAUGCCAGCACACGAGGUCUUUUCACGCCUCCUGCUUACUGAGCAAUGAGUCGAGACGCGCCGAUCCAGGGGCAACGGCGCCCUCUCGGCAAACGCCGCCACCAAGGGUGGUCGCUCCUCUGCUUCAUCCAGGGCUCCUUCGGGGCAGUCACCAUCACCCGCCUCGGCCCCUCCUCCUACUGCGACGCUAUCAAGGGCUGGCGGUCCACGUGUGUGCCAGCUUUGUGGUUGCGAUGGGCACUGGGCCUCGAAGUGUCACAAGCGCUUCCAGCGGGGUUUUCUUGGUCUCGGCAAUGACGGGAAGGAUACACGCAACUUUGCUCGUCAGGUCGCCAUGGCUGAUUGUCCGCCGCCGCAGAAGCCACAGGGACACACUCAGUCCUACUCCAUUGAUCCCCACUGGUACAUGGACUCUGUGGCGACAGAGCACCUGACCAGUGAGAUGGGGAAGCUUCACACUCGUGAACCCUACCAUGGCUCCGACAAGAUCCACACCGCCAAUGGAGCAGGUAUGCACAUCUCUCAUAUUGGUCAAGCAUCACUUCUCACUAGACAUGCCAAUAGGAGUCUUCAACUUCGCAAUGUUCUUCGAGUUCCAUCUGUGACACGUAAUCUUCUUUCAGUUCCUAAACUCACUCGUGAUAAUAAUGUGCUUUGUGAAUUUCAUCCUUUUGAUCUUUUUAUUAAGGAUCGGGGCACGAGGGACAUUCUUCUUAGUGGGCGGCUCUGCCAAGGUCUCUAUCGUCUGGAGCAUCCUGGCGUCGCUCGCGUCUUCAGUGGAAUUCGGGUAUCUCCGUCACAGUGGCAUGCUCGUCUUGGUCACCCGGCCACACCUAUUGUCCGGCAUGUUUUGCGUCGUCAUGAGCUUCCUAGUGUGUCUAGUAAUAAAGAUGUAGCAGUGUGUGAUGCUUGUCAGCAGGGGAAGAGUCAUCAACUUCCUUUUUCGGAGUCCAGUCGUGAGGUGAAACAUCCUUUAGAACUUGUGUUUUCAGAUGUAUGGGGUCCUGCUCAGACUUCUGUUAGUGGUCAUAAUUACUAUAUCAGUUUUGUUGAUGCUUACAGCCGCUUUACCUGGCUUUAUCUUAUCAAACGUAAAUCUGAUGUGUUUGACAUUUUUGUUCAGUUCCAAAAACAUGUUGAACGCCUUCUCAAGCACAAAAUUGUUCAUGUUCAGUCGGACUGGGGUGGCGAGUAUCGCAACCUCAACUCCUUCUUUCAGUCGCUUGGGAUCACUCACCGUUUAGCAUGUCCACAUACACAUCAGCAGAAUGGUUCAGUAGAACGUAAGCAUCGUCACAUUGUUGAAGCUGGUCUGACUCUUUUGGCCCAUGCAUCUGUUUCGUUUCGUUUUUGGAGUGAUGCUUUCAUCACUGCAUGUUUUCUCAUCAAUCGUACUCCCACUCGUGUUUUGAAUAUGAAGACUCCCAUUGAAGUUCUCCUUAAUGAACAACCGGACUACACCUUUCUCAAGGUGUUUGGGUGUGCUUGCUGGCCCCAUCUCCGUCCAUAUAACAAGCGUAAGCUCGAGUUUCGUUCCAAGAAGUGUGUUUUUCUUGGUUAUAGCUCUCUUCAUAAAGGAUACAAAUGUCUUCAUGUGCCCACUAAUCGUGUCUACAUCUCUCGGGAUGUUGUGUUUGAUGAGCAUGUUUUUCCCUUUGCCAAACUCCCUGUGUCCACUACCGAGCCACCUGUCAUGCAUUCAUCCUCUGUUGCUUCUGACCAAUUUGAUGAUGUUGCAUAUUCUCCUCUAUUGUUGCCUAACCAUGGUGCAGGCACUGGUCGUGGGGCUCGUUUGGAGAUUCUGGAAGUGCCAUCUUCCUCUUCAUCGCCAUCGCCUUCAUCCUCGGCACCUUCUGUUGUGCAUGAGGAGCACAUGGCGCCCCUGCAUGGCCUCGGUUUCCGUGCUCAUGCACGGCCGAUCGACGCCCUGGCCCGGUCGCCUCUGGCUUCUGGGCUGCCUUCGCCAUCGUCGCGCCCUGCAACCCCGCCGACUGGGCUGGCCUCCUCGGUCCCCGUCUUGCCCAGGGCGUCGGGGCAGUCAUCACCAGGCCUGGCCUCGCCCGCCCCUGCCUCGCCCAGGGUGUCUGGGCCCUUCUCACCAGGGCCGGCCUCGCCUGCUCUCACCUCGCCAAGGCCGUCUGGGCCGGUGUCACCGGAGCUGGCCUCGCCCACUCUCGGUUCGCCCAUGGCCUCUGAGCCCCUGUCGUCGGGCCAGUCUUCGCCAUGCAGCCCGGAGUUGUCUGUCCCGAGCUCGCCUGAGGUGAUUCCUGCAUCUCCGGCGACCAUCACGUCUCCGUCACCUUCGCCUCCGCCGGCUCCUGCUGCUGCUCUACGUCCACAUACGCGCAGUCGGAGUGGCAUUUUUCAGCCUAAGCAACGUCACGAUGGCACAGUUGCUUGGUUAGCGGCGUGCAUGUCUGCUGCUCUCGCAGAUCCAUCCUCUGAGCCACGCACGUAUCAAGUUGCUAUGCGCAUUCCUCAUUGGAGAGAGGCCAUGGAGCAGGAGUAUCAAGCGCUUCUUCGCAAUCAGACAUGGACUCUUGUUCCUCCACAAUCACGGGUAAAUGUCAUUGAUUCCAAAUGGGUUUUCAAAGUGAAGAGGCAUUCUGAUGGGUCCAUUGAGCGCUAUAAGGCUCGUCUGGUUGCUCGUGGUUUUUGACAGCGUUUUGGACUUGACUAUGAAGACACCUUCAGUCCAGUGAUCAAGCCUACUACCAUCAGACUUCUUCUCUCUCUGGCUGUUACUCGAGGUUGGUUUCUUCGUCAGCUUGAUGUUCAAAAUGCUUUUCUUCAUGGUGUCUUGGCGGAGGAGGUUUACAUGCGCCAGCCUCCGGGUUUCUCUGAUCCGGAUCGUCCUGAUCAUCUCUGUCGUCUGUCCAAGGCAAUUUAUGGUCUGAAGCAGGCUCCGCGUGCUUGGCAUGCUCGUCUUGCAAUGGCUCUUCGUGCUCAUGGUUUUGCAUCAUCAACUGCUGACUCCUCAUUGUUUCUUCUUCAAAGGCCUGAGGUUACUAUGUACUUGUUGGUCUAUGUAGAUGAUAUCAUUUUGGUCAGCUCCUCUCAGUCGGCUGCUACUGCGCUUGUUCGCUCACUUGGUGCUGAUUUUGCGGUCAAGGACCUUGGGAAGCUUCAUUACUUUCUUGGUGUGGAGGUUACUUCUCGUGCUGCUGGCCUUGUUAUGACGCAGAAGAAGUACUCUCUGGAUUUGUUGCAGCGAGCUGGGAUGCUUAAGUGCAAACCGACGACUACACCCAUGUCUACCACUGAUAAGCUCAAUGCUGUUGAUGGUAUGCUUCUUUCUUCUUCUGAUGCGACAGAGUACAGGAGUAUUGUUGGUGGGCUCCAGUACUUGACGAUCACGCGACCAGAUAUUUCCUAUGCUAUUAACCGAGUCUGCCAGUAUCUGCAGUCACCCCGUGACACUCAUUGGUCUGCUGUUAAGCGGAUUUUGCGCUAUAUUCGUUUCACGGUGGCUCAUGGUUUGCAUAUUCGGCCGUCUGACUCUGGUUGUCUUUCAGCAUAUUCUGAUGCAGACUGGGCUGGCAAUCCGGAUGACAGGCGAUCCACGGGGGGUUAUGCUGUCUUCUUUGGCUCUAACCUGAUUGCCUGGAGUGCUCGAAAACAGGCUACUGUCUCGCGUAGCAGUAUUGAGGCUGAGUAUAAGGCUGUGGCCAAUGCCACAUCAGAGAUCAUCUGGGUACAGUCCUUGCUUCAGGAGUUAAGUAUACCCCAAUCACAGCCUCCUGUUCUUUGGUGUGAUAACAUCGGUGCUACAUACCUUUCUGCAAAUCCGGUAUUCCAUGCCCGAACGAAACACAUUGAAGUUGACUAUCACUUUGUGCGUGAACGUGUCUCUCAGAAGCAACUACAGAUCAAGUUUAUUUCUUCCAAGGAUCAACUUGCUGACAUCUUCACCAAGCCAUUGCCUUUGCCACAGUUUGAGACUUGCAGGCACAAUCUUACCCUUCUAGAUUCAUUAGAAAGUGGCUAAGAUUGAGGGAGGGUGUUAGACUGUAUUUACAUGUGUAUAUUGUAACGUUGUAUAUCACCUCAUUAUAUAUAUAUGUGAUAGGCCACCCCUAGAGGGUUGUGCCGGUUCCCCCCAAAGCCUAUUGUCUUACAAUGCUUCACAUUUACACACUAAGACUAUAUUUUCAGUUUAGGUUCUUGUGACUGACCUCCUUAACAUCCUCGGAUGUGAUUCUUCCAUCAACAUUUUGUCAACCCUGAACAAAGUGCACCUAUAUAUCAAGAGUGAAGGAAACCAUGAAAAAACAUUUAGCAGGAGUGAACUACUAACAUGUCAAUGCAUGUUUGGUGACGGUUGUCGAAACCCUGGUGACUGAGUUGCUCCCAGAGCUCUUUCAGCUCCGCCUUGGUCAGCACUUCACUGUCCCUCUCUUCCUUGAUAGUGAAUCGAACAUCUGCACUGCAAACUCGUCGGGCCCUUCCAUCCCUCAUCCCUGCACACACAAUCAAAAGUAAUCACUACUUGAACUAUACUACAAAUUAUAUCCAAGGAAUACUCACUGAAACUGUUCAAGUUACGUACCAAUGCAUUUCCCAAAUCUGGAAUGGAGCAGGACACCAUCAAUGUGUAGGUGACUGAACGAUUUCUCCACAGCAGCGCAUCGUCAGCGGCAACUUUGGCAGUCACAAACUACAAUCCCUUAAGUGCCACUGCAGCGAUACUCUUACUUCUGUCGUAUCUCUUCCUCGUGUCAGCCACACAGCCUCCGCAGGCACUGCCCUGACACCUUGGACCGACACUGAAUCGCGUUGUACAUCGAGCGUGAUCUCGACAACCUCAUUGUUGUCUCUGAACCAGGUGGUCUUUGUGGCCUGUUGUUGCUUGAACCUUCUAAGCUUCCACUGUUUGUGUUUGGGAUCAGCGUUACAGUGUCAGAAUCAGUGGCUCGCUUGCCAGCUUCAGUGUCAGACAUUUCCUUCUUUACCUACCUCUAGGACAACUUCUCCCUGCUCAAAGGAGAAGUUGGUCACUAACUGUCUUUUUCAGCGAAUCAAAACUUGCAGCAGACGUGUCUCCACAAAUAGAAAGGUAAAUAAAAAUAGAAGUUACAAGUGUACUUGUAAUAACUUAAGAAACAGGAAUAGAAAUUACAAGAGAAGAGAUCUCCCUUUCUAUUUUCGAAGUGCUCAGAUCUAGCUAGCUCAAUCAAGGUCUCAUCUCUCCAUUGGGGGGGCGUCAUCAAUUGGAGUAAACGGAAAUUGGACCAAACCCCAAGCGGAGAAACAAACAUACACUAACUAACCAUCAAGCAGAAGAAGAGAAGUAACUCUUUUUUUACCUCGAAGGGGAAAAGAGCAAUGCCUUAUAUUUUGAGACAGAGGGAGUACAAACCAAGUUGUGUGGGAUCUAGACGCAUGAGGGAAAGCACCAACCAACACUGGCACUGGUCACUGGUGUCUGCUCUACUCCUCCGAAUGUGACUCGCUGGCCUCGCGGCAAAUGACACAGGGUGUAAGACAAUAAGUUUUGGGGAACCAGCACAACCCUCUAGGGGUGGCUUAUCUCAUUAUAUAUAAUGGUUGUGUUACAAUAUGUACCAUAUACGUACAUAGGUACAGAAGCUAUACAUAGUCUAACACCCUCCCUCAAUCUUAGCCACUUUCUAAAGAACUGAGAAGGGUAAGAUUGCGCCUACAAGCCUCAAACUGUGGCAGCGGUAAAGGCUUAGUGAAGAUGUCUGCAAGUUGAUCCUUAGAUGAGAUAAACUUGAUCUGGAGUUGCUUCUGUGAUACACGUUCCCGUACAAAGUGAUAGUCAACUUCAAUGUGUUUCAUUCGGGCAUGAAAUACUGGAUUUGCAGAAAGGUAUGUAGCACCGAUGUUAUCACACCAAAGAAUAGGAGGCUGUGGUUGAGACAAACCCAACUCCUGAAGCAAAGACUGCACCCAAAUAAUCUCUGCAGUAGCAUUAGCCACAGCCUUGUACUCAGCUUCAGUACUGCUACGUGACACAGUAGCCUGUUUCCGAGCACUCCAGGCGAUCAAAUUAGAGCCAAAGAAUACUGCAUAACCCCCCGUGGAUCGCCUGUCAUCUGGGCUACCAGCCCAAUCUGCAUCAGAGAAGGCCGAAAGGACCCGAGAGGAAGUCGGCCGAAUAUGCAUACCAAAUGUCAGGGUGAACUGAACAUAACGAAGAAUGCGUUUAACAGCAGCCCAAUGAGUACCUCUGGGAGCCUGAAGAUACUGACAAACCCUGUUAACAGCAUAAGAGAUAUCUGGUCUCGUGAUCGUCAAGUACUGAAGUCCACCAACAAUGCUCAUGUACUCUGUGGCAUCCGCAGGAGACAAAAGCUCACCAUCAACAGCUGUUAUCUUGUCGGUAGACGACAUGGGUGUGGUGGUCGGUUUGCACUUCAGCAUGCCAGCUCUCUGUAACAACUCCAAGGAGUACUUCUUCUGCGUAAGGACAAGACCAGUAGCACGAGAAGUGACCUCAACUCCAAGAAAGUAGUGAAGCUUCCCACGAUCUUUGACCGCAAAAUCAGCACCAAGAGAGCAGACAAGAGCAUCAGCAGCAUACUGAGAAGAGCUGACAAGGAUAAUAUCAUCGACAUAUACCAAAAGAUACAUAGUGACUUCUAGCUUCUAUAGAAGAAAUAACGAAGUGUCAGCAGUAGACGACACAAACCCAUGAGCACGAAGGGCAGAGGCAAGGCGGGCAUGCCAGGCACGAGGAGCUUGCUUCAAACCAUAUAGUGCUUUGGAAAGACGACAGAUAUAGUUAGGACGAUCAGGAUCAGAGAAACCAGGCGGCUGUUUCAUAUAAACCUCUUCCUCCAAAAAUCCAUGUAGAAAAGCAUUCUGCACAUCAAGUUGACGAAGUGACCAACCACGAGAAACAGCAAUGGAGAGAAGAAGCCGAAUAGUGGUAGGCUUGACGACAGGACUGAAGGUGUCCUCAUAGUCAAGACCAUGACGCUGCCGAAAACAACGAGCAACAAGUCGCGCUUUGUAACGCUCAAUAGAUCCAUCCGAAUGCUUCUUCACUUUGAAUACCCAUUUUGAGUCAAUAACAUUUACCCGUGGUGGUGGAGGAACGAGAGUCCAUGUCUUGUUAUGAAGAAGAGCAUGAAACUCCUGCUCCAUAGCCUCUCGCCAAUGUGGAAUGCGCAGGGCAGCCUAAUAUGAGCGAGGCUCAGAAGAUGGAUCCGCAACAGCAGCAGCCAAACAAGCAGCCAAACAAGCAACCGUACCAUCCUUACGUUCCUUAGGUUUGAAAAUGCCACUGCGACUGUGUGUAUGUGGUCGGGACACAGGAACCACCAAGGUCGACGGAGCAGCCUGCAACGGGCUGGAGGACGGCGACGUUGACGAGUCAGCCAAUGAAGAGGAGCCAGUCACGGUAGCCUCAGACUCGGUUGGCGAAGAAGGCCGACCCACCGGCGAAACCGGCAGAGCAGACGAAGCAGCUGGCGACUCCGGCAUCACAGACCGGGCCGAUGGCGAGCUCGACAUAGUGGGCCGUGGCGCGGCCGGUGUCGCAGGCCGAUCCGCUGAUGAAGGCGACGUGAGGACCCAAGCCGCGGGCGAAGACGGCGUGAUGAGCCGAGCCGCAGGCGAAGACGGCGUGACGGGCCGAGCCGCGGGCGACUCGGCGGCCGCUGGCGAAACGGACCGAGCAGUGGAGAUGCUCGGCGCGACGGGCUCGUCGGGUGACCAUGCAUGGGCACGCGAAUCGAUUCCAUGCAACAUAGGGCGAUUGACGUGCCCACCAGAAGACGACGAUGAUGAUGGUGAAUCCUCCAACAGCUCCAAACGAGCUCCACGUCCGGUUCCUGCACCAUGGUUAGGUAACAGCAAAGGAGAGUAUGCAACAUCAUCAAAUUGGUCAGAAGCAACAGAGGAUGAAUGCAGGGAUGGUGGUUCGACAGUGGACACAGGAAGGUUGGCAAAGGGAAAAACAUGCUCAUCAAACACGACGUCCCGAGAUAUAUAGACACGAUUAGUGGGAACAUGAAGACAUUUGUAACCUUUAUGAAGAGAGCUAUAGACAAGAAAAACACACUUCUUAGAACGAAACUCAAGCUUGCGCUUGUUAUAUGGACGAAGAUGCGGCCAGCAAGCACACCCAAAUACCUUGAGAAAGGUAUAAUCAGGUUGUUCAUUAAGGAGAACCUCAAUGGGAGUCUUCAUGUUUAAAACACGAGUAGGAGUACGGUUGAUGAGAAAGCAUGCAGUGGUGAAAGCAUCACUCCAAAACCGAAACGGAACAGAUGCAUGGGCCAAAAGAGUAAGACCAGCUUCAACAAUAUGACGAUGCUUACGUUCGACUGAACCAUUCUGCUGAUGUGUAUGUGGACAUGCUAAACGAUGAGCUAUCCCAAGCGACUGAAAGAAAGAGUUGAGGUUGCGAUACUCGCCCCCCCAGUCUGACUGGACAUGAACAAUUUUGUGCUUGAGAAGACGUUCAACAUGUUUUUGAAACUGAACAAAAAUAUCAAACACAUCAGAUUUGCGUUUAAUAAGGUAAAGCCAGGUAAAGCGACUAUAAGCAUCAACGAAACUGAUAUAGUAAUUAUGACCACUGACAGAAGUCUGAGCAGGACCCCAUACAUCUGAAAACACAAGUUCUAAAGGAUGUUUCACCUCACGACUGGACUCCGAAAAAGUAAGUUGAUGACUCUUCCCCUGCUGACAAGCAUCACACACUGCUACAUCUUUAUGACUAGACAAACUAGGAAGCUCAUGACGACGCAAAAUAUGACGGACAAUAGGUGUGGCCGGGUGACCAAGACGAGCAUGCCACUGUGACGGAGAGACCCGAACUCCACUGAAAACACGAGCGACACCAGGAUGCUCCAGACGGUAGAGGCCCUGGCACAAUCGCCCACUAAGAAGAAUGCCCCUCGUGCCCCAAUCCUUAAUAAAAAGAUCAAAAGGGUGAAAUUCACAAAGCACAUUAUUAUCACGUGUGAGUUUAGGAACUGAAAGAAGAUUACGGGUCACAGAUGGAACUCGAAGAACAUUGCGAAGCUGAAGACUCCUAUUGGCAUGUCUAGUGAGAAGAGAUGCUUGACCAAUAUGACAGAUGUGCAUACCUGCUCCAUUGGCGGUGUGGAUCUUGUCGGAGCCAUGAUAGGGUUCACGAGUGUGAAGCUUCCCCAUCUCGCUGGUUAGAUGCUCUGUCGCCCCAGAGUCCAUGUACCAGUGUGGAUCGAUGGAGUAGGACUGAGUGUGUCCCUGUUGCUUCUGCGGCGCGGGACGAUCAGCCAUGGCGACCUGACGGGCAUUGUUGCGUGUAUCUUUGCCGUCAUUGCCAAGACCAAGGAAGCUUCGCUGGAAGCGCUUAUGACACUUGGAGGCCCAGUGCCCAUCGCGGCCACAAAGCUGACACACACGUGGACCGCCAGCCCCCGGUAAGGUCGCAGUAGGUGGGGGGGCCGAGGCGGGCGACGGUGGCAGCCCCAAGGGAGACCGGGGUGAUGAAGAAGAGCGGCCACCCUUGGUGGCGGCGUUGGCCGAGAGGGAGCCAGUGCCCCUGGUGCGGCGAGUCUCGACCCGUUGCUCAGUGAGAAGGAGCCGAGAGAAAACCUCGUGUGCCAGCAUGGGUGUCGGUUGCCCCGCUCGUUGAUGAUCUCGACUAAGGCAUCAUACUCCUCAUCAAGACCAUUGACAAUAAACGAGUUGAACUCGGAGUCGGUGAGGGGCUGUCCAAUGGAGGCCAAUGUGUCGGCGAGGCCCUUGACCUUGUUGUAGAACUCAGUGGCAGUGGAGUCAAGCUUCUGACACUCUCCAAGCUGACGACGGAGUGCGGAGACACGAGCCUGGGACUGCGCUGCAAAGGUGCACUCAAGGAUGGUCCAGGCCUCAUGAGACGUCUUCGCGAAGACAACAAGGCCGGCAACUGCCGGCGAGAGCGACCCCUGGAUGGAGGAGAGGUUCGCCUGGUCCUGCCCCGUCCAGACGCGAUGGGCCGGAUUGUAGACCGGACCGUGCACGCUGUCUACCAGCGCGGGUGGGCAGGGAAGCGAUCCGUCGACAUAGCCUAGCAGGUAGUGACUCCCCAAGAGCGGGAGAACCUGCGCACGCCAGAAGAUGUAGUUGUCGGCGGAGAGCUUGAUGGUGAUGAGAUGACCGAAGUGAAACGGCGGCGGCGAAGACAAUCCCAUUGAGGAGGCUGCCUGGGGUGCAAACACCAUGGAGGCAGCCGGAGGCACCGAAGCCGAUGCGGGAGGAGGCGGGACCGCAGCCAGGGCGGGCGCCGCAAAGCUCGCGGCCGGUGCGGACGCCGCAAGGCCCACGGCCGGGGCGGACGCCGCCAACCCCGCCAGCGGGGCAGUGUGAUCCGCUUGCGGCAGGAGCGGCGGGACGACGCCUGCGGAGUCCUCAGCGGACGGCGGCGCCGCGGUGUGGACCACGAGGUCACGCCCAAGCGAGGGCGCCGGCGGCGUGGAGAAGACGGAGCCGAUGCUCCUUGUCCCGAUCGGAGCCGAAACAGAGACGGCAUCGAGCGGGAGGUUGAGCAGAGCCGCAAGAGAGGCCGGGAGGAAGCCCGCAGCAGUGGAACCGGUGGUGGCGGCGCUCGACAUGGCGGCGGCGCGAUCGGUGGCGCGGCGGCGGCGGUGAAGGCGGCGGCGGCUGCGGCGGCGGUGCGGGUAUUAGGGUUUAGAAGCGGAAGCGAUCGUAACCUAGUGUGAUACCAUGUAAGACAAUAAGUUUUGGGGAACCAGCACAACCCUCUAGGGGUGGCUUAUCUCAUUAUAUAUAAUGGUUGUGUUACAAUAUGUACCAUAUACGUACAUAGGUACAGAAGCUAUACAUAGUCUAACACAGGGGAAAUUGGUUAGUGCAUGGUUGCACUUCAGCUAUAGGAAACUUAAGGGGAAAAACCAGGAUAUUCAUAAUUUUUCUCUCUUUGAAUCAGAUCUAGAGGUAUUUUCCAAAAGAAACUUUGAAGAGAACAGAAACAACAGUAAAAACUGUUGGCAAUCUGGAUCACAUAUCCAAAAGAAACUUCAAAGAGAACUAACCAGCAUCUUCGUUUGUGCAAUCUGGAUCACGUAUUCUGCUGAGUUUGGGUAUCUUAACCCCAGAAAUUUGGAUGUUAGGCCCUACAUUCACCAUUUUUCAACAUAGAAAACCAUUAAUUAGAGAUGUAAAACAAACGGUUAUAGCAUUCUGUUGUGUAACUGUUUAUUUUUUAGAAACUCCGUUCUCAAAAUUCUAAUCCUGAGUAAUGUUGCAACAUGUCAAAGGAAGAAGUCUAACAUGAAGAAGUGCAGGGAAGAAUUACAACUGCGUGUGGCCGGCUGGUUCAAGGGACGUUCAUGGUGGGCGCGGCGGCUCGUGUGCCGGGGUAGGCUCGUGUGCCGGGGCAGUGGCGAUCUCGCGGACGGAUAGUAGAAAAAAAGGUGAGUCUUUUUGCUGGAAAAAAGAGAAGGUGAGGUUGUAUCUCGUUAGUUGGGUUUCCACUGUUGAUGAAAAUCAUACCUGGCCGAUCUGACGGGGCUGCCUGCAACUUCAGAAUUCGAGCGGAUUGCUGCAUAAUAGUCUUGUUGUAGCCUGGCCGAUCUGUGAAUAUUUGAUUGUAGGUGAAGGAGGGGCGGCCGCCCACUUGACGGUGCUGAUCAGGGCGGCGAGGGAGCCCGGCAGGGGGGCGUCGAUGUAGUGCUGGGCGGUGACGAUCCGAUGUAGGGAUCAAGGUCGCCGUGCAGGGAGGCAUCAAUGCAGUGCAGGGCUGGCGAUGAAAGGCAGGGAGAGGGGCGAGGGACACGAUUAGGUUGAGUUUCCUUUUUUGCGAGUUGGUUAGAUGGUUAGAUUACCGUGAUUUGAGGGGCUGAAGAGGUGGGACGGGGAGUUUCAUAUUUUCAUCUGGUGGAGUACGGUCAGUCUAUGUAAACUGCUAAGCGCACACCAGAUCUCGAAUAAAUCAAUGAUGGUUGUUAGAUGGGGCUGUGCGGGCUUGAUCCUGUGGUGGUGAUAUGGGCGACGAGGCUGUGGACAUUUUGUGGGGUGCACGUAAGAAAGUUUUUGUUUGAUUGUUUAAUAGUAGUGGAGAUAGAAUGGAUGAGCAUUACAAAGUGCAGAUGUUUUGCAAAAUAGAUGAGUCAAAAACUUAGUUUUAGUUUUCCAUAGAAAGCAUUUCGGAGCUACCGAUUUAAACUUGGUGACACCUAAGCUACUUUUGUAGUAUAAACUAGUGGAAUCGAUCAGACCGAGGCACAGUUCGGUGAGUCCGAGAUUGCUAGGGUUUCACUGAGAGUUGAAUUCGGUCACACCGAUUUGCAAGUUUUGGUCAGACUGAAAAGUGCAAGUGUAAUGGCCAAAGCCAAAUUGGUGAGACCGAUUUCCACAACUCGGUCGGUCCGAGAUGAGUUCGACAGAAACCUAACUCUGAAUUUUCGAAUCAAAUCUAGUCUAAAGAAGGUUUUUGCUGGACAAGAUGAUCUCAUACGUGGUAAGAAACAUGGCACUUGCUUUGUGCUAAGAAUCGGAGGAAAGAAUUGCACACAGAUUCGAACUCAUACCCUAGUUCGGUGAUGAGCUUGCUACAACGACAACGGCGGCGUAGAAUUCUGUUGACGGCAACAGAAACUAGCGGCGGGAGGUCAUUGGCGACGAGAGGACGAUCCGGAGACCCGAGACGACAGAGAAGGACACGCGUGGGCGAAAGGGUUUUGGAGGAAUUUCCAAAAUUUGACCCGUCGGUAUAUAUAUCGUGACCUUGUCGGUGUGACCGAGUGGAACAACUCGGUGGCACCGAGAUGCAGAAUUGCAAGUUGUUACUGCAACUCGGUGUGACUAAAUGGUUUUAAUCGAUUGCAUCCAGAUUAAAACUAGAUCAAGGCAAUGAACUCAGUUUGACCAAAAAGAAUGAAUCGGUCAGACCGAAAUGCACACGGAGAUUUUGGAAGUUUAAGUCUAUGAUGAAUCGAUGACUCUGAGUGCUCCUCACACAGAGGGUUCGAAUCUGACUUGAUCAAACUUUGUGAUAUAGCAUGAAUAUAGUUUGAGACGAGAAAAUCAUAGAUAACUAUAGGAAGUUCUUAGGCAUUCUUGUUCAUCCAUUUGGCAAAAGAAAAAGAUCCAAAAAUCAAAGCAACAAAUGGAUGUCCUUAAAUGAGUAAAAUAUGCAAUCAACAUGCUCACACAAUAAAAUGUCAAAUAAAAUAUGUGAGAAAGCAUCCACAAACACUCUAGAAUCUAUCAAACAAUUGGCGAUGACUAGGUCAUCUAUAUAUGAGUAUAUUGACUUAGGAGUCAAAUGAGAACAUUUGAUCAUAGGUCAUAUUCAUCGUUUGAGCAUAAGUGGGGUUACCACUUUUACAUAAAGUAUUAUUGUGUUCACAUCAUUAGAGUUGCUUUAGCUCAAUAUUUAGAGUAAAUCUCCUUCUAGAUGUGAUGUCCCCCCUUAAAAGGGAUAAACUAACCUUGGGUUUUGUCGAUGAUGACUUCAUGUAGAUGUUGAAGAUGUGGAUGCUCAAUGUUGAUGUAGAUCAUUUGGAGCAAUCCAUUGGAGUAAGUUGCACUUUCAAUACCUACACGGGUUAGUUCCACAAGGAACAAGCAAGGAUAUCCAUAGACAUAGAGUGAAGUGCACACAAGAUGAUGUCCAUGAAAGCAUUAGGUUACCUUGUCCCUUGACUUACCAACAAGAGGGUUUGUGAGUCCUUGAACUAGUGCAAGAUGUGAAAGUUGUUUGCACUUGUCCACGCCAAAGUGAUAUGAGUGACGUAUGUUGGCGGAGUCACCCUCAAGAACUUUCUAGUUCUUCUUCUUCAGGAUCCACAUCAACUUGAUGGGAAUCCUUGGAGUUGUAGUCAUACUUGAUGAGGUGGAACUUGAUGUAGUCUUGGAAACCCACUUGACCAAGGCCUUGUGAGCUUCUUCAAAUGCAUCAAUCUCCUCUUGAAUCUUGUUCUUGCUUUUUUGCUUGUGGUUUUGUGUUGGAAGAUCAUCUUGAGCUUGUGUCCCCUUGAAAGAAGUAGGAUCAUACUUCUCUUGUUGAGGAACAAACUUCGUCUUGGGGUAUUAAUCUUCUUCCCAUUCAACUCCAUUAGCAUUGAACUUUCGUUCAAAAUCAACACCUUGUUUCUUCUGGUGCCUUCCUUGCUUGCUUACAAUUUCCUCAAAUUGCUUACUUCCAGCAAGGCUCUUGUAAACACCUUUCUUAUAAUUCCCUUCAAUAAGCUAUUUUCUUGCUCAAGUAUAACUUGGCUAAGAGAAUCAUUAGUGAAAUCAAGAGAACUACUAGAAGCAACAAUAGUGGAUUUAACAUGAUUAUUGUUACUACUAGAAGGAAAAUCUUUCUUGCUCUGGUUGCUAGAUUUUACUUGUGGCAUGGAAGUAGACAAGAGUAAACAACGCUUGGCAAUGUAACAAGAACUUUUCUUAUGAAGAUCAUCAUUGAUUGCCUUUAAGAACCCAUGCUCGUGCUCAAGGUUGAGCUUUUCAAAGCAUAGCUUCUCAUGAAUCUUUAAAAGCUCUCGAUGAUCUUCCAAGAUAGUUUCAUGAGCUAACUCAAGAGUGUUUAGUUCUUUAGUUAGACGCUUAAUCUCCUUCUUAUCAUCGUCAUUCGUUUUAUCUUGAUUAGCAUGAUUAAUAGCAAGUUCAUCAUAGUUUUCAUCACUAGAGUUGUCAACAAGUAAAUCAUCAUCACCUAGCAAAUCAUCUUCAUCACUAUUGACAUCAACAUACUCGGGGUGUGAUACCUUUGGGCCUUUAGCCAUGAAGCAUCUUCCAAUUCCUUCAUUUGGUGAGUCAAAUAUGUCAUAGGAGUUGGUCGACACAAGUGCUAGACCGGCAACACCUUCAUCUUGAGUAUAUUCGGACUCGGAGUGAUAACUUCUCUCAGGGUGAUGGUCGGUGUCAGAGUCGGAUACCCAUUCACCAAGGUGAGCUUGGUGUCUUCGUUUUUUGUAGCUCCUUGAUAACUUGUCCUUCCUUUCCAAGUCCUUACUUCUGCAAGAGGUUCUUCGUUCAUAACGAUCAUCUCUACCCCUUCUCUCUCUUGGAGAUGAUUCUUCUCUUCUACUUCUCCUUUUAGGUGAGUCUUGUUUUCUUUUGUAGGGAGCCAUACAUUCAUUGGAGUAGUGUCCGGGUCUUCCACAAUUAUGGCAAUUACGCCCACGACUAGAAUAUCUUUUGUCAUUAUAGGACCUUGACUUGGAACUCCUUUCCUUGCUUUUACUUUUGUAGAACUUGUUGAAAUUCUUCACCAUUAGGCUCAAUUCUUCAUUGAAGGCUUAUUUCUCACUUGACAAUGUAGGAACAUCACAUGAGGCUUUGUAAGCACCACUAGACUUGUUGUGCAGCUCUUCUUUAUCACAAUUCUUCCAAUGACUUCCGUUGGCUUGAGAUCUUUGUAGUAGGGCAUCAUUUGGAUCAAUGUGCACAUGGUAUCAUAUUUUCCAUCCAAGGCUCUUAGGAUAUUUUUGAUGAUGAAUCUGUUAGUCAUCUCUUCACUUCCUAAGUCGGCAAUCUCAUUUGUGAUGAGAGCAAGCCUAGAGUACAUUUCAGCGACACCUUCAACAUCCUUCAUUUUGAACUUGUCAAGCUGACUUUGAAGCAUGUCCAAUUUGGAUUCCUUGACGGAGUCGGUACCAUCGUGCAUAUCAAUCAAAGUAUCGCAAAUUUCCUUAGCAUUCUCAAGACGGCUGAGUUUGUUGAAUUCUUCGAGGCACAAUCCGUUGAAGAGGAUAUCAUAAGCAUGAGCAUUGUAUUGUAGCAUCUUCAACUCUUCCGCGGUAGCUUCACGAUUCAGUUCUCUCCCAUCAAAGAAUUCACCUUAUAAGCCAAUACACACAAUAGCCCAAACGGCGGGGUUAUGUCCAAGAAUAUGCAUUUCUAUCUUAUCCUUCCGAUUAGCAAAAUUAGUACCAUCAAAGUAAGGACCUCUACGGUGGUAAUUUCCCUCACUAGACGCCAUACUCUCCUAGGUUGUGAAACCAACGCUAUGAUCACCAAAGCUAUGAAAAUCAAGGCAAAAUGGAGACAAAAUCUCUAAUACCACUUGUAGGAUCAAAAAUAUGUCUAGAGGGGGGUGAUUAGACUACUUGACCAAAUAAAAAUCUGGCCUUUUCUCAAUUUUACGUCUUGGCAGAUUUUAGCAACUUAGCACAAGUCAAGCAAUCAAACUACACAUGCAAAUCUAAGAGUAUACCAGCGAAAUGUAAAUCAUUGCAUAUGAAGGUAAAGGGAGGAGUUUAGAGGGAUCAAAUGCAAUGUAGACACGGAGAUUUUUGGCGUGGUUCCGAUUGGUGGUGCUAUCGUACAUCCACGUUGAUGGAGACUUCAACCCAUGAAGGGUAACAGUUGUGCGAGUCCACAGAGGGCUCCACCCAUGAAGGGUCCACGAAGAAGCAGCCUUGUCUAUCCCACCAUGGCCAUCGCCCACGAAGGACUUGACUCACUCGGGUAGAUCUUCACGAAGUAGGCGAUCUCCUUACCCUUACAAACUCCUUGGUUAAACUCCACAAUCUUGACGGAGGCUCCCAAGUAACACCUAACCAAUCUAGGAUACAUCACUCUCCAAAAGGUAAUAGAUGGUGUGUUGAUGAUGAACUCCUUGCUCUUGUGCCUCAAAUGAUAGUCUCCCCAACACUCAACUCUCUCUCACAGAUUUGGAUUUGGUGGAAAGAUGAUUUGAGUGGAAAGCAACUUGGGGAAGGCUACAGAUCAAGAUUCUUGUGAUUGGAUUGGAAUAUAUUGGUCUCAAUACAUGAGUAGGUGGUUCUCUCUCAGAACGUGAAUGCUAGAAGUGUAGGCACGUUUUGAUGGCUCUUUCCAUGAAUGGAGGAUGGGUGGAGGGGUAUAUAUAGCCUCCACACAAAAUCUAAUCGUUACACACAAUUUACCAAACUCGGUGGGACUGAAUAGUUAAACUCAGUCAGACCUAUUUAGUUCAAAAUGUGAACGCUAGGAUUUUUGGUGGGACCGACAUGUCAACUCGGUGGGACCGAUUUCAUUAGGGUUAGGGCAUAACAUAAUCUCGGUGAGACCAAUCACAUAAACUCGGUGAGACCAAUUUCUGUAAUAGGCAAACAGAGAGUUGGUCAGGCAAACUCGGUGGGACCGAUCACUCAUUUCGGUGAGACCGAAAUGUAACGAAAAGGAAACAGAGAGUUUGCAUCGCUCAUUUCGGUUGGACCGAAACGUUACGAGGGGAAACAGAGAGUUUGCAAUCCCAUCUCGGCGAGACCGGGAUCCCUAUCAGUGAGACCGAACAUAUUAGGGUUUUUGGCUAUGGCUAUGUCAAAUGACCUCGGUGACGCCGGAUAGAUCAAAUCGGUGGGGACGAGUUUGACUUUUGGUUUGAGACAUAUGUGGAUAUGAGAAAGUGGUCGAGGGCUUUGGAGCAUAUCACUAAGAAUUUUGAGCAAGCAAGCCAUUAAGCAACACCUCAUCUCCUUUUAAUAGUAUUGGCUUUUCCUAUGGACCCAAUGUGAUCUUGGAUCACUCAAAUGAAAAUAUAGAGUCUUUAGCUUGAGCCAAUAUGUGUCCUUAGCAUUUUUAGGGGUCCACAUUUCUAGUCCAUGCCAUGUCAAUCAUUGAACUUUCUGAAAUAAUCAUCUUGAAAGAGCAUUAGUUCAAUGAGCUAUAUGUUGUUAGGAAUUACCAAAACCACCCAGGGAUAGUUGCACUUUCACGCGCGUCGGUUGUCUUUCUUCAGGAUUUUUGCAUGAGAAGACUGGGCACGGUGUCUGUGCUCGGGUCCAUCCCUACAGCGUCGGUAAACCCAACGACUGAGCUCUGUCUGGCGGGUCGGUCCCGUUCACAUCACCUCAUGGGGUCGUUGGUGUUUGGCCUUUGUGAUGCCCCGAGACCGGUGCGCCUGGUGUCUCCCAGAUAUUCUCUGUCGUUGCCAUGUCAUUCUGCUUGCGUGUUGCAUUUUGCCAUGUCAUCAUGUGCAUUGCAUCCUCAUGUUUUCCAAAACUUGCAUCCGUCCUGGUCUCCCUUUUCCUUCCGUUGUCCGUUUCGAGCCCAGACACACUCGCAUGCGCCCGCGGCACGUCCGAAAUAUUAUUUUAUAAGUGGCGGGAAAAUGUUCUCGGAAUGGGAUGAAAGUUGGCGUGCGGUGUUGUUAUGUUGUCAGUAGGCCGCCUGCCAAGUUUCAUCGCAUUCGGAGCCCGUUUGAUAGCCCAACCAUUAAACAUAUACCGACACUAGCCGGUCCAUCGUCAGACAUUUUCGGUCUCCGAAAACUUCUGUCGGGUCUCUCUCUCUUUUCUCUUCCACGACCCAAGGCAUCUCCACACAGCCACAAUCAGCCAACCUGCAGCCCGCUAAAACCCUCCUCUGACCGGAACCGUUCGAUUGCGAUGGGACGGUCCAAAAACGACCUCAAACCCACCAAAACCUAACCCCUUCCUUAUAUAAACACCCCACAUGCCAAUUUUGGCCUCCUCCAACCCCCACCUCAUUUUCCGCGCCCCAAUCAUCUGCCGCUGGCGCCCUCUUUGUGUUCCGCGCCGGCCACCUCCUCAGCGCCAGUUAGCGAGUCGCCAGUGGGCGCGUCGCCUCCAGCCGACCCCCUCCAGCCAAUCAGAGAAAGCCACGCGCCCCCUACCUCCUAGCGCCACCGUGGCCCGCCCAGGCCUCGGGAAAGCCCGUGGAGCCCAUCGGGGCCCGCCCCCAAGCCCGCGCGUCGCCGCCUUCUAUCCAGAUUAGGAGAGCCUCGAUCUCUCCUCCCGCUCACCCCCGACGUCCGCCGCAGGCGACCAAGGCCGUCGGAGCUCGCCCGCCACGACCUCGUCGGAGCCGACGCCGGCGACCCCAUCUUGUCUCGCCGCCAGGUCGGGCCCCCAUCCCUCUCCUCUCCCGUUCUCUCUCUUUUCUCUCUUUCUCUCCCUAACCUCUCUGCUCUCCUUCUUGGUCAGCGCCGCGCCAGGGCUCCCUCGACGUCGCCCCACGACGAGCCGCCGCCGGAUCCGGCCAUCUCCGGUCCAUCCCCGCCGGAUCAGCGUCGUCACCGCUGUUCCAAGCCCCGCCCUCGCGGGAGCCACCUAGCGCCGCCGCCCCUUGCCUACUGUUCAUGAGCCAGGCACUAGGAGGGCGACGAGCGCGUUGACUGCGCGUGGUCUGCGCAGGGCCUCGGCCUCGCCCGCCAGCCCAACCGGACCAGUCGGCCUACCUCCUCCACAGAUCUGGGCUUUUGGCGCAUGGUGAGCCACCCACACCCUAGCGCCCAAGUGCUUUGUACGCCCAGUUUUGGCCCGUGCCUAUUUUUUAACUGUUCGGUGAAUUUCCUAAAUAACCAGUGCAUGUAUAUUAUAGUUUUGCCAUCGCUUUAAAAUGCUCAUACCUAGAGAACCGUGCAUCGGAUUUAAACAUGUUAUAUAUGUAAACUACUUAGAUUCCUAUCUAGUUUCAUAAUCCGCAUAAUUCAUCCAUGUUAAAAAUGUUAAAAAUGUUGUUUGAUAAAAUUUGUAUAUUGCCAUGUUAAAAUGAUUUAAUUCAUAACUAAUUAACCGUAGCUCGGAUUUAAAUAAACUUUAUAUGCAAAUGGGGUAGAAAAAUGCCUAGUUUGACAUGGUGCACUCAUCUUGCAUGUUUAACAACUCUAAAAUAUGGUUUAGGGCAGAACAAUACCAAAUUCAUAAUAUGCAUAUGGGGAUUUUUUGGAAUUGUUGUUUGUUAUUUCCGGCCUCAUUUAAACUUGCCUAAAUAGUUAGUUUACUUAUGUCUCACCUCUUGCCAUGUUAACCAACAUUUAAUACUGUUGGGUACAUAAACAAGAGCAAACUAAAUAACUUGAAUGUGGGGUUUCGUCAAUAUGCAACUUGUCACAUAUUGAGCUCCACUUAACUUGUAGUGUUGUUUGUGCACUUGCCAUGCCAUGCAUAUUUUAACCGGACAUGCAUCAUCCUUGGUUGUGCAUCAUGCCAUGUUUAUGUUUGUGUGUUUACCAUGUUGCUUGCUUCUUGCUGGUUUGCUUCUCUCGUUAGCUUCGGUUUCGUUCCGGAGUUGUGAGGAUUCGUUCGACUACGUCCGUUUUUCUUCUUCAUGGACUCGUUCUUCUUCCUUGCAGGAUCUCAGGCAAGAUGACCAUUAUCCUCGAUAUCACUUCUAUCUUUGCUUGCUAGUUGUUCGUUCUAUCGCGAUAUCGCGCUACCUACCACUUGUUUAUCAUGCCUCCCAUGUUGCCAUGUCAAGCCUCUAACCCACCUUCCUAGCAAAUCGUUGUUUGGCUAUGUUACCGAUUUUGCUCAGCCCCUCUUAUAGCGUUGCUAGUUGCAGGUGCCUUGUAGGUUGUUCCAUGUUGGAACAUAGAUAUGUUGGGAUAUCAUAUCUCUUAUUUAAUUAAUGCAUCUAUAUACUUGGCAAAGGGUGGAAGGCUUGGCCUUUUGCUCGGUGUUUUGUUCCACUCUUGCCGCCCUAGUUUCCGUCAUACUGUUGUUAUGUUCCUUGAUUUUGUGUUCCUUACACAGUUGGGGUUAUGUGACCCCCCUUGACAAUUCGCUUUGAAUAAAACUUCUCCAGCAAGGCCCAACCUUGGUUUUAACAUUUGCCUAACAACCUAAACUUUUCCCUUGGGAGUUAUAAACCCAAGGGUCAUAUUUAUUUAACCCCCCCCCCCCAGGCCAGUGCUCCUCUGAGUGUUGGUCCGAACUGGGCGAUGUCCGGUGCCCCCUGGGCAACCAGGGUCUCAGCUAACCUGACGUCUUGCCCAUCCGGUGUGCCCUGAGAACGAGAUACGUGUGACUCCUAUCGGGAUGAUUCGGCACAUCAGGCAGUCUUGCCGGUAUUGUUUUACCAUUGUCGAAAUGUCUUGUAACCGGGAUUCCAAGACUGAUCGGGUCUUUCCGGGGGACAUAAUAUCCUUUGUUGAUCGUGAGAGCUUGUGAUGGUCUAAGUUGGGACCCCCUGCAGGGUAUAAACUUUUGAGAGUCGUGCCCACGGUUAUGUGGCAGAUGAGAAUUUGUUUAUAUCUGGUUGUAGAGAACUUGACACUAAACUUAAUUAAAAUGAAUCAACCGUGUGUGUAGCCAUGAUGGUCUCUCUUCGGCGGAGUCCGGGAAGUGAACACGGUUUGAGUUAUGUUUGAACGUAAGUAGUUUCAGGAUCACUUCUUGAUCACUUCUAGCUUCACAACCAUUGCGUAGCUUCUCAUCUCACUCUUAUAUGCGUAUGUUAGCCACCAUUCUUUGCUUAGCGCUUGUUGUAACUCCACUUCAUUACCUUAUCCUACCCAUAAGCUUAAAUAGUGUUGAUCUCGCGGGUUUUGAGUUUGCUGAGUCCUCGUGACAAACAGAUACAACCAAAAUAGUUGCAAGUGCCGAUCAUACCAGUAAAGGUGCCGCAACCGAGCUCAAGUGGGAGUUCGACGAGGACCUUGGUCGUUACUAUGUUUCAUUUCCUGAUGAUCAGUAGUGGAGUCCAGUUGGGACGAUCGGGGAUCUAGCAUUUGAGGUUAUCUUCUUUCCAUUUGGUUUUGACCGUAGUCGGUCUAUGUGUGUAUUUUGGAUGAUGUAUGAAUUAUUUAACUAUUGUGUGAAGUGGCAAUUGUAAGCCAACCCUCUUUAUCACUUUCUUGUUCAUUACAUGGGACUAUGUGAAAUGACCCUUCUUGCGAUAAAACCACAAUGUGGUUAUGCCUCUAAGUCGUGCCUCGACACAUGGGAGAUAUAGCCGCAUCGUGGGUGUUACAAGUUGGUAUCAUAGCCAUCUCCGACUUAGGAGCCCCCUGCUUGAUCGAAUCGCUGAUGUUGUUGAGUCUAGAACAAAAAUGUUUUGAGUCUUAGGACUAUAUAUAUCGGAGAGUAGGAUUAUUUUUACUCCUUAGUCCCUUCUUCUCUCUGGUGAGGCCUCCUGACGUAAAUGUUUUGACUUUCCUCUCCUCAAAUUUCACGAAAAAAAUUAGGACCACGCGGGUAUAUUGGAAUCAUUCCGAUAUUCUUGUGAUGAGAACAUUGUUCUUGGUGCCUCCUGACAUUUAGGGGUUGUGGCAGUGUCCCAGAGAGUUGAGCUCUGAGGUGUUGUCGUCACAAUUUUAUUAUUGCAGUUCUGGAAUACCUGAGUUCGCCGACAUCGAAAAUCUGUUUUAUGCAGUUGUUGGUGAGAUAACCUCGACGCCACCCAGUACUGGGUCAGGAAUUCGAGAAUAUAGCCAUAACUCGUAUAAAGGAUGCUUUUCGAAGGUUUAGGUACAUGAUUUCCAGAGUUUUCUUGGUUAUGUGUUGACGGAUGGAUACAGUUGGAGCAUAGGGCUUGUUAGUUGUGUGAUAUAUAUUGUGCCACUCUGUAUCCCCAACACCAGAUUGCAUAACCAGAAAGUUUCGGGAGUUAAUAGGUGGGAUUCAAGUAGCUCCUAGAAUAUCUUUCUGACAGAUGCAUGAUAUGGGAUUGGGUAAAUCUCUAUCAUAUGUAUUUGUUUCGGCUUAUUCUGCAAGCCAAAUCUUUGAUUUGUUUUGAGUUGUGGUAUUCGAGUUGCUUCAAUGUCAAGUGUUGAUUCCAUAUCUUUCCUAAGCGGUGUUGUCAUAUCCCUAUGUGAAUACUAAUCCUUCUUAUUUAUCGAGAUUGUCAUCCCAAUUCUAUUUCCAACCGGUGCGCUUCUCUUCGAGAGGAUCCCAUCAUUCUCCCCACCCGCAAGAUCAAUUCUAAGUUUUCUCAAAGGUGUUUCUUCCAUCAGUCCCAAGUUGCCUUUGUUUCUUUCCCGCCCUCCCACCCUUUUCUUCAAGGACUCAUAUAUAUCUUAAUCAUGUAUCCUUUUAUUCAGGUGAAGCCCCUUCAUUCUUUUCAAUCAAUGAUCUUAUCUAGUGAUUCUCUAGAAGAUGCUUAGGAGCUAUAAGUUUAUCAUUCUUCGUUCUCUUUUCUUCUCCGGUGGAUUCAAUUCAAGCUUUUGGUGUUGAUCAUAUCCCUUUCCUCGUUUCAAAUGCUUUCUCGUGUUGGAAGUUCUUAUCCAAGCAUCUCUGGACCAUUAACAUUACGAUUCUUGUAUCCGGAGUGCUGAAGAUAUCUCAGAAGAUUCACGUUUCCAUUCUCAAUCCGUUCAAGUUAUUUCGAGGUUGUUAUCUCAUUCGACCAUUUAGUUCAACUGGUGCAAUCUCUCUUUAUAUCAUUCAAUGGUGUAUCUUUGAGUGGGCCCUAACCCACAGGUCUUUUCCCAGGAUCUUACCCGACUCUUCUAAUUUUGUCGGAGUUAUUCCCUAAUUUUUUUCGAAGUUUGACGUAAGAAUGAAUUAUCAUCAGCCAGAUGCCUUCUCCAGGAUCGCUUUCAAAUUCUUUUCAUCGCUGAUUCAACCUUUAUAUUCUUCAUUAUCCUGGAGUGUCUCGGCAAUUAAUGGUGGUGUUUCUCAUCGUCAUUCUCAACAUUUGAAGACCAAAGAAGAGUUCCUCUUAAAUCCUUGCCCGUUCUUCCAAAGAUUCAUGGUUCUAGCUUUAUGCCAUCCUCAUAAUUGCUCUAAUCAUCAAGGAUUCUUUUCAAACCCAUCCGGGGCAUUUUAGGAGUUAUUCGCUUCUUGAUCAUCCAAAGGCCAUCAUUUCAGAAGAUUUAUGCAUUCUCAGCAUUCAGCUUGCAUUCCCUAAUUCUACCAGCGCAUCAUCGAACUAUCCUCUAAUCAGUUCAUGAUCUCUUAGUUCUAUUGUAUCUAAUUUCCCUCAAGUAUCAACGUUGUUUUCUAAUUUGUAAUACCCACGAUGCGGCUAUAUCUCCCACGUGUCGGAGCACAACUUAGAGGCAUAGCCACAUAGUAGGCAUGUCGCAAGAGGGGUAAUCUUUACACAUCCCAUGUACUGAAUAAGAAAGGGAUAAAGAGUUGGCUUACAAUCGCCACUUCACACCAUACAUAAACAUAGCAUUACAUCAUCCAGAUACAAUCAAGGUCCGACUACGGAACCAAAUAAAGAAAGACAACCCCUAAUGCAAUAGAUCCCCGAUCGCCCCGACUGGGCUCCACUACUGAUCAACUAGAAACGAAACAACACAACGAACACGAUCUUCAUCGAGCUCCCACUUGAGCUCGGUUGUGUCACCUGCAUGGUAUCAUCAACACCUGCAACUGUUUGAAGUAAUCUGUGAGUCACGAGGACUCAACAAUCUCACACCCGCGAGAUCAAGACUAUUUAAGCUUAUGGGUAGGAAAGGGUAGUGAGGUGGAGCUGCAGCAAGCACUAGCAUAUAUGGUGGCUAACUUACGCAAACGAGAGCGAGAAGAGAAGCAAAACACGGUCGUGAACUAGAAGUGAUCAAGAAGUGAUCCUGAAACUACUUACGUUCAAGCAUAACACAAGAACCGUGUUCACUUCCCGGACUCCGCCGAGAAGAGAUCAUCACGGCUACACACGCGAUUGAUGCAUUUUAAUUAAGUUAAGUGUCAGGUUUUCUACAAUCGGACAUUAACAAAUUCACAUCUGCCCAUAACCGCGGGCACGGCUUUCGAAAUUUCAAAGCCCUGCAGGGGUGUCCCAACUUAGCCCAUCACAAGCUCUCACGGUCAACGAAGGAUAUUCCUUCUAGCGGGAAGACCCGAUCAGUCUCGGAAUCCCGAUUACAAGACAUUUCGACAAUGGUAAAACAAGACCAGCAAAGCCACCCGAUGUGCCGACAAAUCCCGAUAGGAGUUGCACGUAUCUUAUUCUCAGGGCAACACAGGAUGAGACUAGCUACGAGUAAAACCAACCCUCAAGUUUCCCCGAGGUGGCCCCGUAGGCAGCUUGGUUCAGACCAACACUCAGAGGAGCACUGGCUUGGGGGGUUUAAAAUAACAUGACCCUUGAGUCUGCAGAACCCAAGGCAAGGUAUAUGGUGGUAGGUAGGCAAAUGGUAAAACCAAGGUCGGUCCUUGCUGGAGGAGUUUUAUUCAAAGCGAACUGUCAAGGGGUUCCCAUAACACCCAACCGCGUAAGGAACGCAAAAUCAAGGAACAUAACACCGGUAUAACGGAAACUAGGGCGACAAGAGUGGAACAAAACACUAGGCAUAAGGCCGAGCCUCCCACCCUUUACCAAGUAUAUAGAUGCAUUAAUUAAAUAAGAGAUAUUGUGAUAUCCCAACAAAUAUCCAUGUUCCAACAUGGAACAAACUCCAUCUUCACCUGCAACUAACAACGCUAUAAGAGGGGCUGAGCAAAGAGGUAACAUAGCCAAACAACGGUUUGCUAGGACAAGGUGGGUUAGAGUCUUGACAUGGCAAUAUGGGAGGCAUGAAAAAGCAAGUGGUAGGUAUCGCGGCAUAGGCAUAGCAAUAGAGCGAGCAACUAGCAAGCAAAGAUAGAAGUGAUUUCGAGGGUAUGGUCAUCUUGCCUGAGAUCCCGCAAGGAAGAAGAACGAGUCCAAGAAGAAGACAAACAGACGAAGUCAAACGGAUCCUCAUAAAUGCGACGUUAUCGGAACUAACCUGAAGAAGCAACACUGGAAAGAAGCAAACAACAUAGUAAACAACCAUCACAUAAACAUGGCAUGAUGCACAACCAAGUAUGAUGCAUGUCUGGUUUAAAAAGGCAUGGCAUGGCAAAGUGCAACAAACAACACUACAAAUUAAGUGGAGCUCAAUAUGCAAUGAGUUGCAUAUUGAUGGAACACCACAUCAAUUAUUUAGUUCACUCUCAUUUAGGUACCCAACAAUAUUAAAUGUUGUUAAACAUGGCAAGAGAGUGAAACAUAACAAAACUAUACCAUCUAACAAUUUAAAUGGGGCCGGAUAUAACAAACAGCAAAUUCGGUAAAACCCCAUAUGCAUUUAGCAAUUCAAAGCAACAACAAUUUAAACAUUCUUGAUGUUGUUAUCAUGAUGCGGAUGACAUUUGCAAGUUUUAUGCAAGUUUUAUGAAAAUAUUGAUAAGAGCAUUAUGAAGCAUUUGUCACCGUGGUGGAAAAAAAGGGUGCCACGACGACGAAUCCGAAAAUGAUGCCACGACAACAUAUCGGUUCCGGUAGCUCACGGAGAUACCGGUGCAAAGGAAGGGUGGCGGGAGCAUGCAAAAGAUGGUGGGGUGAUCCCGGUUACCGGGUUCCCACGGGUGGACGGCAUGGCAACGAGGAGGACCGAGCAAGUGACAACUCGGACACGGUGCAAACAUAGGGUGCAUCUCAUACAACACAUCACAUGCAUACGGUCCACGGACGGCCGUCUCGGGGUUAUACCUUUGAAGCGUGCGAACGGGACAGUUCUCGCGACGGCAGUAGUGGAAGUAGUCAUUUUCGCAUGCUCUAGGGUCGACAAUAGAGGUUCUCGCGAUCUCGGUGACGGUAGUGGUACAUGUUUAUCGUUGCCCGAGUUUCCGUAGAUGUUCAUGUCAUCGGUGUCGUGGUACUUGGGGUCUUCGGACUUUCCGGUCCCGUUCUUGCGACGGUAGUCGUUCACGUUCGUUCGGAGCGGUACUUGAUGACUCCAAUUCCUUUGGGCGAAAAGCACGUCGACGGUAGUCAUUCUAGGUAGGAAACGGUAGCUGAACACAGUUCGUAGAUGUUCAUGUCGCCGUAGUGGUACUUGGUGAAUCCCAAAACAGUCUUGGCGUCUUCGCGCGUAGCGGUACUUGGCGUUUUCCUGUGGUACUUCUCAAGCAAGAAGCGAAGUCAUGGUACUUGGGUCGUCGUGGAACUUGGCGCAUCAUCAUGGUACUUGGCAAAAUUCUCGGAGAAAAGCUUGACAGUCCGGGGACGCUCAGGUCGGUAGAUGUUCUUGGUCUUGCGGUUCGGAGGCCGGUACAAAGAGCUGCGGUUCAUGGCACUGGUCAUAGUGGGCGAGCAGAGGCGCGUCCUCCUCUCUGCUCGAACGAGGCAGAGGCGGAGCAGCGGCUUGACGAACUUGAGGCCAUGGCUGCGGGCUGAGGAACAAGGUCCGGCGAGGGUGGCGACGCUGCUGGUGGAGGACGGCGUGGGCGUAGAAGGCAGGGGCACGAGGAGACGAAUCAGAGGACGGGGAGGCCGGAGGAGCUUCUGCAGUGUUGGAGAAAGGCAUGACGAUGGAGGCAGGUUCGGCAGCCAUGCGGCGACGCGCGUGGAGGGCUCGAGUCCAUGGCGCGGCAGAGAGGCGGGGAAGCGACGGGGCCGCAGCGCCAUGGGGACAAAGGUGGAGGCUCCAGCUCGGGGAGGAGGUCGAGGCCGACAUGAACGGGAGCGCAGCUUCAAUGGCCGGCCGGCGAGGCCAUGUCCUUGGUGCAGAGGAUCCACACGGGAGGAAGGAGAAGGAGUGGAGGACGACGGGGUUUGGAGGAGGAUGAGCGAGGGGCGCUCCUCUCCCUGGCAAUGCGAUCAAGAGGAGGACGAGGGAGGCUGGCGGCGCCGUGGGAGGCAGAGAACGAGAGGAGGAGGUCGGGCACUAGGGUUAGUUGUAGGUGGGCUGUGGGAAGCCUUAGGGAGGUUGGGCCGGCGCUUGUGGGUUAGGCCCAAGAGGUGGGAGUGGGGCGCUGGGAAAGCUGGCAGGAUGCAACUGGGCUGGGAGGCCGGCGCUGCUAGGAGGCCCAAGUGGCCAGAGGCGGCUGGGCUCCCUUCUCCCUCCCUCUUCUCUUAAAACUUAUUUUCUUUAACAGAAAAGAAAUUAGAGAGAGGAAAAGAAAGAGAAGGUUAGGGAAGGAUUUUGCGCAUGGGGAUAAUAUUUCUGGACUCACAAAAAUGUGAGGAAUUUAAAUAAAAUGAAAAGAGGAUUUUUGGAUAAAAAAGGAUUCGCACAUGUUGAAUUUAAUUCAACAUGUUUGAAUUUUUGAAACCCAUUCGAAAGGACUCUAAAAUGGGCUGAGCUUUUUCAGAGGAGCCUCGAUAAAAGAGAUGAGAGAUAUUGGCAAGGUCUGAAGGCCAAACUCGAAGAGGAAUAGACAUGGGAAUUAUUUUGCACGUGUGUUAUGAUGAUUCCAAAUUAAUGGAAUAUUUAUAAUAGCUCCCUAAAAUAUUGGGAGGAUAUGUUAUAUAGAGAAAUCACCAUGUGAGUUCCCUCGAUUUAAAUGGACCGAAGAUCCAUGCAAUUUAUUUAGUUGAGUUGCAAAAGAUUUAUGAGAAGAUGGCAUGAUGACAUGAUGCAAAGCAAAAAUAAAAGGGCAGGCACAAAUGAAACACACGGGGAAACCCGGAACAUAUGGAAGUCUUCUCGAGCAUCAGUCUCGGGGCGUCACAUAAUUCCUCCUGGUGAUUCGUCCAUUUGCUGCGUUCGUUUCAAUUUAUUACGGUGGUUCGUUAAAGAUUCAUUUUACUUUGUUAUCGUAUCAAUUCAUUUGUUGUUUCAAUCCUACCGGCUGUUCAUUGAAGACCUUCUCAAGUUUGCGCUAUAUAUCUCUUCAAUCUUUUAAAGAAGAAUAAGUAGUAUGCCAAAUCUGUUGCUUGUCAUCAAUUUAAAUUGGUGAAGGAUACACAUAACGUAAUUCUUAUUACUGUUUCAUCCAAGUGAUCUAAUUUCUUCUUUCCAGAGUUGUUUACCAUGUCACAUUCUUGGUUCGAGAUGCUUCAUCUUUUAUUUUCGGAGUCACAACUCUCUCAAUUAUCUCGUCGCGAAGCUCCAUCUAAAUCAUUGCAAGGCUUCACCUUGUUCUUUCAACUUCUCUUUCUUUCUAUCAUACUUUUGUUAUCGGAGUUCUUUAUGUAGGCUCUACAUGGUGGUUCGUCAAGGAUUCCUUUCAUUCUUCUAUUGUUAUUCAAUAUUCCCUCUCGAAGUUAAGUUCCGCCAAGCUAUACUCUAAAAUUAACAUGGUGCUCAACACAUGUUUUGUUUUGAGGUUCUUCAUCUUGCAUUCCAAAGUGCAGUUCUUUCUAUCUCAUCUUUUGAGGUGGUGUUAUGUCAUUCUUGAUAAUUUCCCUUCGUGUUUCAUGAUUCAACAGCUGUCAAGAAUGAGAUAGUUAAACCCAACAAUUUCUUCGAGCAUGAGCUAUUCUUAAUCCAUCAAUCUCUUUGUUGGAGUUAUCUUGGGUUAUAUUUCACCUAAAGCUUUCCCUAAGGAUUGUUGCUAUUUAUGGUGCUUAUAAAUGACCCAAGUUCUUCAUUUAUCCUCCCGGUGAAAUAAGUUUCCCGUCCCCUUGUUGAUAUCAAUCCAAUCUAUUGUUUCCGUUAGUGGCAGAAUUUGACCUCAUAAUUUUGAGAUGUUUUACAUAAGCCCACAACAACCUUAUUCUUUUGUUGUUUAAUUUUCAACAACUCCAUUCAAAUCCUUCUUUCUAAGGAUGCUUUCAAUUUCAUUUGCGGUAGGAUUUGUCAUUUGUUCACCGUUCUUUUCUCAAUCCAGCUUCUAUUCUUUCAUUCCAGAGGCAUGAUGAUGUUGCUCUCUUUAACCCAUCAUCUCAUUUUGUAAAGAUCAUGUUUUUUCCUUUCCUUAUCCAUUCAACCGGAGUGUCGUGCCCUCCAUUCAAGUUCUCUCAUCUUAUCAUGUUUUGCUUCCCUUCUCAACCGGAGUGCUGUCUGAAAUCUUUCCUACCCCUUGUGCCAUUCUUUCAAUAGUUCCAGAGGCACUGUGUUGUUGAUUUCAUCAAGUAUCCUCUCAUCUUGUCAAGUUCAUGUUCAAUUCUUUCCAUUUACAAUCGGAGUGCUGUCCAAAUUAUAUCAUUCUUAUUCCUUCUCUAUCUUGUUUUAACCGGAGUGUUGUGUCUAUCAUUCCUCUUCUAUCCGGAGUCUCAUCCAAGUGCUUUCAUUUUGCCAAGUUCAUAUUCUAUGCCUUCCUAUUUCCAACCAGAGUGUUGUCGUAAUUGAUCUUUAUUGUUCCUUGUACAUCUCGUUUCAACCGGAGUGCUUGCAUGUACUUCUUGUCCGUUGUACUCGUCAUUCAUAGCUUUGCAAACUCCAAGGCUCACAUGGUGUUCCUUGUUUCUCUUUUCUACCGGUGUGCUUUCAUAUUCUUUUGGACCGUUAAGCUCUUGUUUCAUGUCCUUCAACCUACAAGGUUCUCGCAAUGUUCCUUGUUCCUCUUUUAUAACUGAGUGUUUUCAACUUCUUGCAUCUUUGUUGGAUUCCUUCUUUCAAUUUGUUUAACCUCUCAAGGUUCGUUGGUUUCACUCUUUUGUCAAAGAAGAAACUUUGUUUUACCUCUUGCUCUUCCGCUUCUCUCCGGUGCCAUUCUUAGAUCUCGGGACGAGAUCUCUUGUAAGUGGAGGAGUGUUGUGACGCCCCGAGACCUAUGCGCCAGAUGUCUCCCAGUUAUUCGCCGUCGUUGCCAUGUCAUUCUGCUUGCGUGUUGCAUUUUGCCAUGUCAUCAUGUGCACUGCAUCCUCAUAUUUUCCAAAACUUGCAUCCGUCCCGGUCUCCCUUUUCCUUCUGUUGUCCUUUCUGAGCCCAGACACACUCGCAUGCGCCCGCGGCACGUCUGAAAUAUUAUUUUAUAAGUGGCAGGAAAAUGUUCUCGGAAUGGGAUGGAAGUUGGCGUGUAGUGUUAUUAUGUUGUCAGUAGGCCGCCUACCAAGUUUCAUCGCAUUCGGAGCCCGUUUGAUAGCCUAACCGUUAAACAUAUAGUGGCACUAUAACUGGUCCAUCGCCGGACGUUUUUGGUCUCCGAAAACUGCUGUCGGGCCUCUCUCUCUUUUCUCUUCCACGGCCCAUGGCCUCUCCACACAACCACAAUCAGCCCAACCGCAGCUCGCUAAAAACCCCCUCUGACCGGAACCGUUCGAUUGCGAUCGGAGGGUCCAAAAACGGCCUCAAACCCACCAAACCCUAACCCCUUCCUUAUAUAACACCCCCACAUGCCAAUUUUGGCCUCCUCCAACCCCCUACCUUGUUUUCUAUGCCCCAAUCAUCAGCCGCCGGUGACCUCUUCGUGUUCCGUGCCGGCCACCUCCUUAGCGGCACUUGGCGAGUCGCUAGUGGGCGCGCCGCCUCCAGCCGACCCCCUCCAGCCAAUCGGAGAAGGCCAUCCGCCCCCUGCCUCCCCGCGCCGCCGUGGCCCACCCAGGCCCGGGGCAAGCCUGCAGAGCCCAGCGGGGCUUGCCCCCGAGCAUGUGCACUGCUGCCUCCGAUCCAGAUUGGGAGAGCCCCGAUCUCUCCUCCCGCGCAUCCCCGACAUCCGUCGCCGGCGACCAAGGCCGCCGGAGCUCACCCGCCAUGACCUCGUCGAAGCUGACACCGGCGACGCCAUCUCGUCUCGCCACUAGGUCGGGGCCCCGUCCCUCUCCUCUCCCUUUCUGUCCCUUCUCUCUUUCUCUCCCUAACCUCUCUACUCUCCUCCUUGGUCAGCGCCGCGCCAGGGCUCCCUCGUCGUCGCCCCACGACGAGCCGUCGAUGGAUCCGGCCAUCUCCGGUCCAUCCCCACCGGAUCCGCGUCGUCAUCGCUGUUCCAAGCCCCGCCCUCGUCGGAGCCUCCUAGCGCCACCGCCCCUUGCCUCCUGUUCGUGAGCCAGGCAUGAGGAGGGCGACAAGCGUGUUGAUCGCGCGUGGUCUUCGCAUGCGCCUCGGCCUCGCCCGCCAGCCCAACCGGACCAGUCGUCCUACCUCCUCCAUCAAUCUGGGCUUUUGGCCCAUGGUGAGCCACCCACACCCUAGCGCCCAAGUGAUCUGUACGCCCAGUUUCGGCCUGUGCCGGCUUUUUACUGUCCGACGAAUUUCCUAAAUAACCAGUGCAUGUAUAUUACAGUUAUGCCAUCGCUUUAAAGUGCUCAUACCUAAACAAUGGUGCAUCGGAUUUAAACAUGUCAUAUAUGUAAACUACUUAGAUUCCUGUCUAGUUUCAUAAUGUGCAUCAUGCAUCCACGUUAAAAAUGUUAAAAAUGUUGUUUGAUUAAAUUUGCAUAUUGCCAUGUUAAAAUGAUUUAAUUCAUAACUAAUAACCGUAGCUCGGAUUUAAAUAAACUUUAUAUGCAAAUGGGGUAGAAAACUUCCUAGUUUGACAUGGUGCACUAAUCUUGCAUGUUUAACAAUUCUAAAAUAUGGUUUAGGGUAGAACAGUACCAAAUUCAUAAUAUGCAUAUGGGGAUUUUCCAGAAUUGUUGUUUGUUAUUUCCGGCCUCAUUUAAACUUGCCUAAAUAGUUGUUUACUUAUGCCUCACCUCUUGCCAUGUUAACCAACAUUUAAUAUUGUUGGGUACAUAAAUGAGGGCAAACUAAAUAACUUGAAUGUGGUGUUUGGUCAAUAUGCAACUUGUCACAUAUUGAGCUCCACUUAACUUGUAGUGCUGUUUGUGCACUUGCCAUGCCAUGCAUAUUUAAACCGGACAUGCAUCAUCCUUGGUUGUGCAUCAUGCCAUGUUUAUGCUUGUGUGUUUACCAUGUUGCUUGCUUCUUUCCAGUUUGCUUCUCUUGUUAGCUUCGGUUUCGUUUCGGAGUUGUCAGGAUUCGUUCGACUACAUCCGUUUCUCUUCUUCAUGGACUCGUUCUUCUUACUUGCGGGAUCUCAGGCAAGAUGACCAUUACCCUCGAUAUCACUUCUAUCUUUGCUUGCUAGUUGUUCGUUCCAUCGCUAUGUCGCGCUACCUACCACUUGUUUAUCAUGCCUCCCAUGUUGCCAUGUCAAGCCUCUAACCCACCUUCCUAGCAAACCGUUGUUUGGCUAUGUUACCGCUUUUGCUCAGCCCCUCUUAUAGCGUUGCUAGUUGCAGGUGCCUUGCAGGUUGUUCCAUGUUGGAACAUGGAUAUGUUGGGAUAUCAUAUCUCUUAUUUAAUUAAUGCAUCUAUAUACUUGGCAAAGGGUGGAAGGCUUGGCCUUUUGCUCGGUGUUUUGUUCCACUCUUGCCACCCUAGUUUCUGUCAUAGUGGUGUUAUGUUCCUUGAUUUUGCGUUCCUUACGCGGUUGGGGUUAUGGGACCCCCUUGACUGUUCCCUUUUAAUAAAACUCCUCUAGCAAGGCCCAACCUUGGUUUUAACAUUUGCCUAACAACCUAAACUUUUCCCUUGGGAGUUAUGAACCCGAGGGUCAUCUUUAUUUAACCCCCUCGGGCCAGUGCUCCUCUGAGUGUUGGUCCGAACUGGGCGAUGUCCGGCGCCCCCUGGGCAACCAGGGUCUCAGCUAACCCGACAUCUUGCCCAUCCGAUGUGCCCUGAGAACGAGAUACGUGCGACUCCUAUCGGGAUUUGUUGGGACAUCGGGCAGUCUUGCUGGUCUUGUUUUACUAUUGUCGAAAUGUCUUGUAACCGGGAUUCUGAGACUGAUCGGGUCUUUCCGGGAGAAGGAAUACCCCUCGUUGACCGUGAGAGCUUGUGAUGGGCUAAGUUGGGACACCCCUGCAGGGUAUAAACUUUCGAGAGCCGUGCCCACGGUUAUGUGGCAGAUGGGAAUUUGUUUAUAUCCGGUGUAGAGAACUUGACACUAAACUUAAUUAAAAUGAAUCAACCGCGUUUGUAGCUGUGAUGGUCUCUCUUCGGCGGAGUCCGGGAAGUGAACACAGUUUGAGUUAUGUUUGAACGUAAGUAGUUUCAGGAUCACUUCUUGAUCACUUCUAGCUUCACAACCGUUGUGUAGCUUCUCAUCUUAGUCUUAUAUACGUAUGUCAGCCACCAUUUUUUCUUAGCACUUGCUGCAACUCCACUUCAUUACCUUAUCCUACCCAUAAGCUUAAAUAGUCUUGAUAUUGCGGGUUUUGAGAUUGCUGAGUCCUCAUGACUCACAGAUACUACCAAAACAGUUGCAGGUGCCGAUGAUACCAGUGCAGGUGACGCAAUCGAGCUCAAGUGGGAGUUUGACGAGGACCUUGGUCGUUACUAUGUUUUGUUUCCUGAUGAUCAGUAGUGGAGUCCAGUUGGGACGAUCGAGGAUCUAGCAUUUGGGGUUAUCUUCUUUUCAUUUGGUUUUGACUGUAGUCGGUCUACAUGUGUAUUUUGGAUGAUGUAGAAUUACUUAAGUAUUGUGUGAAGUGGCGAUUGUAAGCCAACCCUCUUUAUCUCUUUCUUGUUCAUUACAUGGGAUUGUGCGAAGAUGACCCUUCUUGCGACAAAACCACAAUGCGGUUAUGCCUCUAAGUCGUGCCUCGACACGUGGUAGAUAUAGCCGCAUCGUGAG